GAUGAACGCUGGCGGCGUGCUUAACACAUGCAAGUCGAGCGAAGCACUUUGGUUUGAUUCUUCGGAUGAAGACCUUUGUGACUGAGCGGCGGACGGGUGAGUAACGCGUGGGUAACCUGCCUCAUACAGGGGGAUAACAGUUAGAAAUGACUGCUAAUACCGCAUAAGACCACGGUACCGCAUGGUACAGUGGUAGAAACUCCGGUGGUAUGAGAUGGAACAGCGUCUGAUUAGGGAGUUGGUGGGGUAACGGCCUACCAAGCCGACGAUCGGGAGGCGACCUGAGAGGGGUACCGGCCACAUUGGGACUGAGACACGGCCAAGACUCCUACGGGAGGCAGCAGUGGGGAAUAUUGCACAAUGGAGGAAACUCUGAUGCAGCGACGCCGCGUGAAGGAUGAAGUAUUUCGGUAUGUAAACUUCUAUCAGCAGGGAAGAAAAUGACGGUACCUGACUAAGAAGCCCCGGCUAACUACGUGCCAGCAGCCGCGGUAA
rnacentral:rRNA from 1 species